GAUGAACGUAGCUACAGGCUUAACACAUGCAAGUCGAGGGGCAGCAUCAUCAAAGCUUGCUUUGAUGGAUGGCGACCGGCGCACGGGUGAGUAACACGUAUCCAACCUGCCGACAACACUGGGAUAGCCUUUCGAAAGAAAGAUUAAUACCGGAUGGCAUAAUUAUUCCGCAUGNGGAUAAUUAUUAAAGAAUUUCGGUUGUCGAUGGGGAUGCGUUCCAUUAGGCAGUUGGCGGGGUAACGGCCCACCAAACCUACGAUGGAUAGGGGUUCUGAGAGGAAGGUCCCCCACAUUGGAACUGAGACACGGUCCAAACUCCUACGGGAGGCAGCAGUGAGGAAUAUUGGUCAAUGGACGAGAGUCUGAACCAGCCAAGUAGCGUGAAGGAUGACUGCCCUAUGGGUUGUAAACUUCUUUUAUACGGGAAUAAAGUGAGCCACGUGUGGUUUUUUGUGUGUACCGUAUGAAUA
rnacentral:rRNA from 1 species